UUACAUAAGCUUAUACAAAUAUGAGGAACAGGAGAAGUUUGGGGAUGAGAGACAGGCAGUGUACUAAUAUUUUUUCUUAGGAUCAACCCUCUUUUUCUGAUUGUAAAUUGUUUUAACUGGUGUUCAUCAUUUUACAUGGUUGUAACCUUAUGGUGAAAGUCAUCUAUGUCAUAGCUGCCAUAGCUCAGAAAUCAGUCAUUUGAAUCAUAGUACUAUUUUUUUCUGGCUCUUUAAUUUGAAUGAAUGUAUGUGUUUAUGAAAGACUAUAGAUUUAAACAAGCACAGCAACAAUAUUCAUCAAAGCUAAUUAUGAGCCUCAACACGUGUGUGUGUGUGUGUGUGUGUGUGUGUAGGGAGGGGGUGGCUCUCCAGAACUAAACUGUAAUGCAUAGGACCAGGAGAUCUUGUGUGUGUGUGUGUAUACACAUCAUCUACAUAUGGUGAUUAUAAUAUCAUUGAGAAGAGAUUUGAGAUUUACAAAAGUAAGAUUUGAAUCUCCUUUAACUGAAGGAGACAUUAACUGAGAAGGAACUGCAAAUAUUAUUUAAUAGGGGAAAAAACCUGCAGCAAUGAAUAUACCAGGACUGGUGAACUUGCAGACUAAGAGUCAUAUGCACUCUUGACCUAAUUAACAUGGGUGAAGGUAACCAAGGAACGAAGGAGGGAGGGAAGGAGGGAGGGUGGGAAGGCAAAGUGGAUAGAGUAAAGGAAGGAAGAGGUGGGAAUAAUUCUCUGUGAGCCAUUGGUUCAGACCUCUAGCAAUAGUGAUCUUUCCCAGUGGCGGACCUUGGGGUCUCCAAUUUCAGCAGCGUCCUUUGCGAUGCCAAAAUUUGGUGUCCUCUGCCUUUCACGCUCCAUUCUAAAUAACCAUUGUAGUGCUCCAAGGCUCUGCACCCAGUUCAACCGAACCAGUCGUGCUCCUCUACAUCCGCCUCUGGCUUUUCCUGGUAACCCACCAAGCAGGGAUGAAUAAGGAGUGGGGCAGGGGGUAGGAUGUCACAGAGAGAGACAAAGGGGGAGGGGAUGGACCUGCCUACCAUGGGCUCUCAGCCCACUCAUUGAUGCCUCCAGCCUUGUUUUCUGUUGUUACGUGGCCCUUAAUAGAUUACUUAUAAUGGAAUGUGGCCCUGAAAAGAAAUCCCGUCUCUAUUCUUGAAAAGACAUUGGAUGAGGGACUCUAUCAGACUGGGAGCAGCACACACUUGGUGUAUAUGGAGCAAGAGCCUAAAAUAUAAGACAGUUUCAUAAGCUCAUAUAAAGAGAGAUGCUGCCUUCAGACCUGUACAUGAUAUCCUAAGUUACUGUGAGUUGGAAAAUUACUAAAUUCUUCUUAACUAUAAAAUAAAUAGUGGUGGUUUCUGCCUAAAUAUGUAAACUACUAUGAUAGGGGUUUUCAUAUAUAAGCUGUUAGGCAGAGAUUAACCUGUUGUCCUCUAGCUGUUGCUGUACCAGAACUCUCUGACCAUUGGCAAUGCUGGCUGGGAUAGAUGGGAGUUUAACAAUAUCUGGAGGGCCACAGGUUAGCCACUCUCGUUAUAAGAAAUAGACAGCCCUGGUAGCAUAUUGCUUAGAAUGAUACCUAAAGUACAAAAAAGUAAUUUAUUAUAGCUGUAUUACAAGAAACCAAGUAAAUUGCUUUUCACUUCUUCAGUAUCUUUCUAUUAUUUCCUUUUAACUGAAAGGCAAAUGAAACAAAAGUGCAAGGCAUGCGGCCUUACGAUAAUGUUAGUGUCUGAUUGAUCGUCAUCAGUAUAUGACUACAACUUUGGCUGAGAUUCUAGGCUUAAAUUAUCUUGACAUUUCUCAGUCAAGAAUAGGAAAUGUUUCCUGUUAGGUUAUAUAAUGCUUCAGAGGCUGUUCUAGGUCCACCCAUAUAUCUUCCUUCCUUUCAUUCUUUCUUUAAAAACCCAAAGCAGAUGCAAAUCUUGAGCAGAGGGACAGUGAUGGUGGAUAGGGAAAAUGGCUGCGCAGUCCUUUCACAUACAACUGGUCUUUCUCCCUGCUAAACAUUGCCCCCAGAGACUACAUUUCCACUUGCAGGAGAAGAUAUGGAUACCCAAGUCUCUUCUCUGCGAGGUGGAAAGCAGCUUAGAGGAGAAUAACGGCCAGGAGAAAAGGGAGAAGCAGCUUCAUCCUCUCCUGAACUGGUUCUCUGCUUAGGUUGAAGCCUCUGCAAAUGCUUUAGUUUUUAGUUUUUAAAGGCAUGCAGAUUAGCCUUACAUGUAAUUUGGUUCUAUAGUCUACUUUUCGUGUCUCUUUGUAAAAAUACUGGUACUGUAUGUUCUCAAGCCAGCCUGGAAUUGCUUUCUUCCACAUGGCAAAUAAUUAAGGCAUGAGUAGAAAUCCACUUGUGCAAAUUUUGAUCCAGUCUGAUGACAUACGACUAUUGUUGAAAGAGUAAAGGCUAAAGCUUCCUAGUGCCUUGGUGUCUGUUACAGGAAGUAAACAUAGGAUACAGUCUGUUUGUGCAAAGCAACCUAUAAUAUUUCCUAGUACUUCCAGGAAAGUUGGAGGUAACUUCCAUCACAUAUGCUAAUAUGUUCCUCUUUCUCUGACAUGUUGCCAACAUUUGUCAGUCAUAUUUUUGUCUAUAUAUUUCAAAGUGUUGUAGACCAGUGUACCAGUAAUUUACAUGAAAUUUCUUUUAUACUAGAAUUAGUGAACUUACUUUCUAUUUUUUAAAUCCCAGGAUAUUUUGUUUCUUCCACCCCUAAAUUAGGGUGCCAUUCUCCAAGUUGUUGUUGUUUAGUCAUUUAAUCGUGUCCGACUCUUUGUGACCCCAUGGACCAGAGCACGCCAGGCACUCCUGUCUUCCACUGCCUCCCGCAGUUUGGUCAAACUCAUGCUGGUAGCUUCGAGAACACUGUCCAACCAUCUCGUCCUCUGUCGUCCCCUUCUCCUUGUGCCCUCAAUCUUUCCCAACAUCAGGGUCUUUUCCAGGAAGUCUUCUCUUCUCAUGAGGUGGCCAAAGUACAGGAGCCUCAGCUUCACGAUCUGUCCUUCCAGUGAGCACUCAGGGCUAAUUUCCUUAAGAAUGGAUAGGUUUGAUCUUCUUGCAGUCCAUGGGACUCUCAAGAGUCUCCUCCAGCACCAUAAUUCAAAACAUGCUCCAAGUAAUGUCUGUCAAAUGUUAGCCAUUAAAAUUCUGUAAGCCUGUAUGACCAAACUUUCACUGAUAGUAAUUAUAGUGAAUUAUUUGCUCAAAGUCGGUGAACUUUUUGGUCACUUGUUUUGUAUACUUAAGUUGCCAGAGAUCACCUCCUCUUUCAAGGUGGUUUCUCUGAUGUAACUGAAACUGCACCCAGUUAGUUUUUCAUCUUAUUAGGAAUCAUUUUCCAUUUAACAUAUAUUAGAGAAAGUAAGCUUUUCUGAUUGCUGCAUGAUGGUGUUGGGGCAAGUAUAGAAAGUAAUUCUGCCUGUAGCAGCUCUUCCCAUUCAUCCUUUGAACUCAAUAUAAUCAGACUGUCUAAUAUGGCCAACCCUGUCUGCCUUCUCCCACUACAACUUUGUUUUCAUAGCUAAGCUUUUAGCUCAACAUGGUAGUUUAAGUAAGGUUGUUCUUUUUUUAAAGGAAGGUUGUGGUGAGCACUGGAUCAUCCCAUAUAACAGAGUCUGUUUAAUUUUAUUUUGCAAUUCAAAAAGAUGUUCAAGGGUGGCCAAAAUACAGAUCUAUUUUACCAGCAAAACCCAGGAAUUUAUGCUGAGAGGUCAAUGGACUUUUGCUGGUGUAAAAAUGCAGGCUGUGAUGAAAAUUAAACCCAUUAAUUUGGUUAAUAUGAGCUCUCUCACAGCAACAGUUGCAUAGAGCAUAUGCUCCUAGAUGCUCAUGUUUGAAAUGAUGAUUCACAGUUAAUCGUUAUGAGAAAUAGCUUACCACUUCAUAAACUCUAGGAAAGACUGUUUUCUUUUUCAAACAUUUAAAUUACUCAGCCAUUUUAUGCAUUAAACCCAAUUAUAACUAAUAGUAUUUCAGAGAAUUUAAAAAGCCAUUUCUUGCACGAUAAGUACUUAGCACAUUUUAUCACAUGGCAGUGGGACCCACUCUGUACCACAGCAUCUAAAAAUAAAUGUUGAAUUGAAACUCAGCAAGACUGUUAGAUUGCCAUCCUGUGCAUGCUUGGUUGAAGUAAAUGGGACUUUCAGGUGAUCAUGGAUAGGAUCAGGCUGCUCAUUAGAUGUGCAUAUAUUUCCUUAAGCUGAAAAUACCUUAAAGGCAUGGUGAAUAACAAUAUAUUGCCAUAGUUAUGGUGAAUUAAACUAUUGGAGUCAUGCCAUUUCUAAUUGAUUUUACUCCCCCCAAAAACCAUUCUGAGAUCCCCUAGACCAGUAUGAGAGAGAAAAAAGAGCUGCUGAGGGAAUUGACAAAAAUGGUCUUCCCCAUUUCUGCCAGCAGGAUCCUCCAUAAGGUCAGUCAGAAAUUUGCAUGACAAAAUUAUUAGAUUAAUGAUGAUGGUGGAGUAAGCAGGGAAAGUGCUUCUGAGAGCAUUGCAUUUAAUUUGCAUGACUAGGAACAUGCUUAUAUUAGCCAUUGCCAUGCAGAUCGGUAGAAUGAUACACUGGUAAAAAUAUGGUAUUAAUGAGUCUGCAACUUUAAUGAAAUUAUGCAGCCAUCUAGGUUGUCUUGUCAAGUUUUUUAUAUUCAAAAAUGGGACCCAUCACCAUGAUGGUGAAGUGGUGUUUUGCAGUUGAUCAUUGUGAGAAUCUACACAUCUUUUUCAGUGGUUCAAUGCAUUCAUAUUGUUAUCUAUGAGAUCUGCAAGCUUCACAGCAAAUUCAACAGGAGUGUGGUUCAUGCUCUGAACAUGUGCUUGACAACUGACAAGACUCAGGAGGACAAGAUGCCUUUGUUGAUUUCCACUUAAAUGUGGCUCCAUAAAUGGGACACUAUUUUGAUUAUCCAUAGUUCUUAUAGAAAGCAAGUAAAGAACUGGGAGUUUUCAGAAUGCAGGACUUUGACCUCAUUUUUAUUUCCUCACUGUCAUCCCAAUUUCUUCUCUAUGUAAAAUAGUUUGAAACAUCAACAGUUGUUUGAGUGAGUGGAGUAUUACAUAGAUUCAUUAUUAAAUAGCAGAGAAAUUAGAGAACUUGCCUUGGAUUUUUGUUGUAGGGUUAUCUAUAUGUAAAGUCAUGUGGUCAUUGGGUUCUGGGUUAAUGCCACAUUAGACUGCAGCCGCAGAUCAUGAUUCUGCAUGCUUCCCCUAUAAAUAUUCCCUUCUGCAAAAAACAGGUACAUUGGUGAGAAGUCUAGGUCGGAACAUUUUUCCCUGAUGGACCAGUUUUUCCAAGGAGGGAUCAUGUUAAAUAGGGGAGUAUUCAAAAACAAGAUCACUACUGCAAUUUGAAGUAGUAGAGUCUAUGACCUGCACCACAUAAUCUUGCUGAAUGUGUAGUUGGCUCUAAGGGCUGAACUACUGUACAUUUUACAUGGAGAUGUAAUGUGCUACAAAACCCCCCAUAGUUUUUAAAAUGAAAAGCAUCUUUGGGAGAGCACAGUUUUGGUAUAGAAAGCUUUCCCAUUUGUGUUUUUCUCAUUGCAAUUCUUUGCACACUCCAGCUGCAAAGGAAGAUUCCAGACGUGUAUUCGCCUUUGCAAAUGUAUGUCUGGAAACCCACACCAUCAUGGGGAAAACUAGUUUGGGUAAAGUGUUGUGGUGGAAAGCUAGUAGGUGGGGGAAAGGUUACACACACCCUCCCUACUGCACCAUCUUUCCUUCAAAUCACUCUCUUCUGAAGUGGCUGUGGCAAAUGAUUUCAAACUGAUGUGUUAAAGUCAUAUGAGAAGUGUGUAAUACCACAGGCAGUGAUGUCCGAAUUGUCCCCAAGACCAUUGAAUUAAAGUUGUCAGCGACUAAGAUUUGCCAAGUAAAGUCAUACUUAUCAAUAGCUCCUCUUGUUAGAUAUUCAAAGUUCAAGUGCUUGUUUGCUUUAGUUAAGUGCUCUGAAGUGCUUCAAAAGGCAUUGGCCCUAUUAUAUAAACAAAUAGAGAAACUGUUAAUUGCUGCUGCCCGUUUAGAGUGACGUGCCUAAUAUGGAUUGUUUAGCGGAGGUCUGCAGUACGUUAGCUGUAGUCUUGGGGAACCAUAGCUUUAAAAAUUCUUCAAGUAAUGAAGCUAGCUUGUAGCCCAGGUAUUUGCUCAGGGAUAAAACACUGGAGAAGACUGGAAAAAGAAAUAGGAUAAAUACUUUUAUGCUAUUCCUGUUAAAUGUUUUUAUUUAUUAUUUUUUUAUCCCACAUUGUCUAAGGCUGAUUCACAGAGGCCAUUUUCCUUUUCAUGCAAAUGGUUUUGACUACUUCUUCAUAUACAUUCACACAGACAACACAGUAGGUGAAUUGGCUGUUCAUGAUUGAAGCUGAAGACAGUUUCCAAGAUGGUGGUAACACUUUUUUCAAGUACCUGAAAUCAUGUAAAUUGCUGCUGGCUUUAUCUGUGAUUUUUCGUUUCCCUUGUUAUGUUGUCUGUGUGAAAGUUUCCCUGGCUACAUGCACAGAGACACAAAUGUGUUGUGUGAUCCGCUUCUAAUAUUUCAUGUGAUAUUCUUGCCCAACCUGCUGGUGUUCAUUACUUGUACUCUUAAGACCGUCAUCUCUGCAAGGUAGAACGCAAUGGAGAUAUGAACUAUGAACACUACAUAGAAUUUGAUCACUCAACACAUUUUUGUAUCUGUGGACAAGCCUGACCAUCUUCAGGUAACGUAACAAAUGAACUGGUCUAGGAGGCUAUGGUGCUUUUAGGAUAUUAGUCUAGUUGAUUCAAGAGGUAUCUUCCAGUUCUGGAAAUCUAUUAUGUAUAAGUGUACAAAACAAGCAUAUUGCUCAUUCUUUCCUGCAAGAUCAGUGGAUAUUUUUGUAGCCGAUUUUUCUCAUGCACGUUAAGAGUAAUUUUGAUUGAAGUCAACACAGCUGAACCUUAAGGUGAAUGCACUUGGGCUCCUACAAGGAUUUUAUUAUCAGAAGAUUUGAGGUCUGAUGAACAGCUUAUAAGGAUCUUUGCUAUUUCCUUUUACAGUGUCAGUCGUGGUAUUUGGAGCAGCUUGAAAAAUCAAGUUUCAUAAGGUCUGAUGGUAAAGUACUCCAUCAGAGAUUAUGCUGAUCCAAAUAGAGUGAGAAAGUGUGUUAGCCAUGGAGCAAAAAUACAUACCAAAUCGGCAGCAAACCACUUUGAAUGGCAAGAACUGUGAGUGUAAGGAGUUAACCUCAGCCCUUACAGCCAGAAUUAGAUAAUUUGGCAUCCAUUCCUGGAUGAGAUCAGUUAUUGGAAACAUGAUAUGCAUAUGGUUUUCUUUUAUGUGAUUCAAAUACUGCAUGCAAGUCCCAGAAUGGAGUUGCAAGACAAUAAAUUAGCCCUAUAGCUAAUCUAAAUGCCAUUUCUAAAAAAAGAAGCAUGACGAACCUUAUAAAUAGUUAGACAUUACUUAGCUUGAAACUACUUUUGUCAAAUCUGAUCAGUGCCAAAAAGUCACCUUUCUAAACAUUAGCUGGGGGAUUAAUCAGGAAUGACAAAAAUGUACUUUCGUCACAGGAAACAGAGUAAUCCUUUAAAAUUCAAUAGAAGAAGCUGAAUGGGUCCAAGGCCUUUGAUUGCCCCCAAGCAGCCGCAUUACAUAUUUCAUGAGGUGGGUGGACCCAGGGUCCCUUACAGUCAGCUGCAGCAGCAGAUGUGAUAGUUCUGUAGCACCAGAAUUCUUAUAGCACAUGCAGGUUCAUGGCUUCCAAGUGGAUAAAGUUGUCCAGCAUCAGUGGCAGCCUCAGGAUGCUGCUAUCCACUCAACAUCCACGCACCUACAUGUUCAUCCACUGGGCUCCUGCUUCAAUUUUGUAAAGCCCUACAAUGACAGUGUUGGAUCUCCUCCACCAUUCAGUAGCACUUAGCAGUGACCUUUGGAAUUGGAAGGCAAACCACUGCACAAACCACCACUGCCUGGGUUAUCGCCAAGCAUGCAGGCCAUAACUCUGGAAUGUUAGCUUCUGUCCUAGUGCAGGGGCCUUCCUGUCCACAGACCAAGAGACACUCUAGUAUGAACUGCGGUAGCAAGAAACGUCCCUUUAGCCCAAUAUUUGAUGACUUUAUGUUUUCUUGAAAAAGUAUUACUACUUUGUGCAAAGCGCUUUACAUUUGUCACAGCAAUCUUUGAGAUGGGGAACCGAUUCAAGUUUCUGCUUUGCCUGUUUUAACGGCAAAAUAUUAGAUAUCAGUUCAGAUCUGUAUCCUAAACUCUUCAGCCUUAUGACAUUUCCUCCCUUUUAACUUUGGCUUUUGGGAAGGGCUGCAACCUGCAGGUGGUUUUCCCCCUGCUGUGUCUGUUGCUAUGUAGAUGGAAGAUGGAGCUGGGAACUGGCAUGCCCUGUGCAAGAGCUUCACCCUCUAAAACAAGGAUGGGGAACCAGCAGCCCUCCAGAUGCUGUUGGAUUAACAUUCCAAUCAGAUCCAGCAAACGUAGCCAGUGGUCAGGGAUUAUGUAAAUUGUAGUCCAACAACUUCUGGAGAACUACAAGUUCUCCAUUCCUGCUCUAAAAUGUUUUCAGCAACUGCUGAGGCCUCACCCAAUGGCAAAGAAUGAUUUGAUCAUUGCCACUACCUGUUUGUGAGUUGUAAAAGUCCACACACACUGUUCCAAACAGUUUCUAACUUUUCUUUUGGGCUUUUUGUUACCAGUAGAUUCCAGGAUAACGAACAAGUUUCCUAAAUGUUCACUGAAUUUAUGUGAGCUGAGCAGGCCAUUAGUUCCCUGGUACUGAAUGCACUUCUAGUUGACUGCAGCAACCACUAAACACUGAUAGAUUUUAAUUCAUUUUGAGAAUUAGACAGUGCAGUAUGAAUCUUUUGAAAAUUGAAUGAGGAAGACUAGUAUGAGGGCCUCUCUGUCAUUCCUCAUUUCAGGUCCAUAGCAACUGUAUUUUUUAUGCCACACUAAAUAUCACUUUCUUUGCUGUGUUUACAUCCACACUGGCAUUUGCUGUGUUAGCAUUAUUAGCAUAUGCAUCUGAGUUUUCUCAGCCAUUCCUCAGUAGGUCACUAUCCCUUCUCUUAAAAAUACAUCGAAAAUCACAUGUAUCUGGAAAGAUAUGCAUGAUCUUAAAGAUCUAAUACCAAAUACAUUUCCCUUCCAAUUUAUUUGCAAAAAAAGGUGAAUGUAAAAUUUAAAACAUUGCACACUGCAUAGGCUUCCCAAUAAUUUGGGAAAAUAAGGAAGUGUAAUAUCUCCU